rnacentral:rRNA from 1 species
UACGGGGGGGGCAAGCGUUGUUCGGAAUUACUGGGCGUAAAGGGCUCGUAGGUGGCCAACUAAGUCAGACGUGAAAUCCCUCGGCUUAACCGGGGAACUGCGUCUGAUACUGGAUGGCUUGAAUUCGGGAGAGGGAUGCGGAAUUCCAGGUGUAGCGGUGAAAUGCGUAGAUAUCUGGAGGAACACCGGUGGCGAAGGCGGCAUCCUGGACCGAGAUUGACGCUGAUGCGCGAAAGCCAGGGGAGCAAACGGG